UGCCCUAUAGCUCAAUUGGCAGAGCAACGCGCUGUUAACGCGGAGGUUGUAGGUUCGAUUCCUACUGGGGCAGCCA
rnacentral:tRNA from 1 species